GGCCGGGUUCCGGGCGGCGGCAUGCUGCGAACCUGGUCAGGUCCGGAAGGAAGCAGCCAUAAGCGGCCUCUGCCGGGUGCUCGGGGCCCGGCCCGG
rnacentral:SRP_RNA from 1 species